GGAAGGGUAGUUUCUCGGAAGCCCCUUCUCUACUGCCCUUUAGAAGGAUGCACUACAAAUCCCAGAAUUCAAUGGACUUGUGAUGAGGGUCUGGACCUCGGAAGGGUCGUCCGGAUCUGAUCCUUCUGCAGGAUGAAUACUUCGCGGACAGUAACCUGGGAAGCCCUUCUCCUUAACCUAAUAGGUUAAGCCAUUUGUAAAGCAUUUUGUCCGACACCGAGGGAAAAAGGAUGACGACCAAUCAGGAUAUAGGAAAGCGAACGCCCCACCCACCCCUUUUAUGUCCAUCCUUCUGACGCAAUGGCCAAUAAGAAUGGAGACAGCAAACAGGUGAUAGCUGUCAAUCAGCAACUCCUUCCAACUUCCAGCCCGCCCCCUGCUUCGUUCUUGGAGAGACACGCCCCCUCCGCCCCUUCCCGCCGGGUUCAGCUUUUCUUUUUUUUUUUGUUUCUAUCCUCUUCCUGCUGGUGGUUCUAACCUUGAGGACACCUCCCCCCCUCAACCCCCAUGCCUCAGGAUCCUUCUUCCUAAGGAAUAGGAAAGCAGUGUGGGAAAGGGCGAAGAGAGCUGUUCUUGGAGUCCGGGGACCUGAGAUCCAAUUCUGACUCUGCCACUUAAGAGCUGUGUGAUACUGAGACAGUCUCUGGACCUCAGUUUCCUCAUUUGGGCUAAAUAAUAUUUCAGGUCCCAGCACUAAAGCUAAGUGUAGAGAGCUGGAAUCCCAAGUCUGGCACUGGCUCUUGCUGUUACUGACACUGACUGAUGGGGGCACCACCUUCCUCUCAGGAUCCUGACUCCUCCCUCCAUCGGAGCUGUGGCCAACGCCUACCCUCCACACUGGCCUCCUGGCUGUCCCAAGAACAAGAUACUCUUAUCUCCCGACCCUGGGCAUCUUUGCUGGCUAUCUCCGUACCUGGAAUGCCCUCCCUCCCGUCUCCAGGUCCUAGCUAAAGCUCCUGCGGAAACCAAUCCUUCUGGACGCUCAUUAGGACCUUCCUUCUGGUGAUUCCGGUUUGCAUGUUGUCUCCUGUGUUUGACCUAAGACACUCUUAGUGUCUGGGCACUUGGCACAGUGCCUGGCACUUAGUAGGCAUUUAAUAAAAUGCUUAUUCUCUGACUGACUUAACCUAAC
rnacentral:lncRNA from 1 species